GUCACUCAGGAUGGAGUUCAGUGGUCCUAUCAUGGCUCAUUAUAGCCUCAAACUCCCAGGCUCAAGCAAUCCUACCAUGUCAGCCUUCCCAGUAGCUGGAACUACAGGUGGACAGUCUAGUUGCAGGAAAACAAGCUCAGAGAUCCCACUGAGUCUACAUUAUACUGGAUCUACCAUGAAAGACUUGUGAAUCCAGGAAGAGAGACUGACUGGGCAACAUGUUAUUCAGUAGGUGACCUCACAGUGACUCAAGCUACCACUUACUGUUGAUUGUGACGAAAUGCCAGCUGAGGCACAUGCCUUGGGAGCUAAGUGGUUGCUGCCCUUGACCACUGUGAAGACUGGUGUGGGAAGGGUCGUUUUGGAUGCACUUGAGCAGGGGUCCCCAACCCCUGAGCCAUGGAGCCGCAAGGAGCCACACAGCAGGAGGUGAGCGGUGUCGAGUGAGGGAGUGAGGGAAGCUUCGUCUGUAUUUACAGCCACUCCCCUUUGCUCACAUUCCCGCCUGAGCUCCACCUUCUCAGAUGAGCAGCAGCAUUAGAUGCUCAUAGGAGAACGCACCCUGUUGUGAACUGUGCAUGUGAGGGAUCUGGGUUGCGCUGUCCUUAUGAGAGUCUAAUACCUAUUGAUCUGUCACUUUCUCCCAUCACGCUCAGGUGGGAACAUCCAGUUGCAGGAAAACAAGCUUAACACGCCCACUGAUUCUACAUUAUGG
rnacentral:lncRNA from 1 species